GCUCAGCGAGAGCCCAGAGCGAAACCCGGGAGCCACAGGGCUGCAUUCAAGUCUCCUGCGGCAUGUGGCAAUGAAACUGUAUCCCAACGGGAUCAGCGAGUCCCUUCUCUGGGAAAGUGAUAUUAUUCUGGGUCAACACUUGGAAAAGUCACUUAGUAUUCAUUGCUGGGGAGUGGGAAGCCAGUAGUCAGAUCACAUCACCUCGGUCUUGGAAUUGGAGAGAUGGCCGCAGUAUCACCGGGAUUUUUUUUAAAGCAUCAUCAACAUGGAUCCACACAGACUAUUUUCUCCUGCCCACAGAAGAGGCCACCUCAGGCUAUCCUCCAACAGCUGAAACUGGCGCUCCGUCCUUUGGGUUAGACCUACGAGCCACACUCCUCUGCCCCGCUCUGCCUUGGGUGCCAGCCACAGCAUCCUUUUGUCUGGUUCCAGGCCCAGCGCAUCGUGUCAUCCAUCCUGGGACCCGCAGCCUCUUCAGAGUUACCGACUCUGGGACUUGCCUCUGUCAGAGGUGUCGAGAGGCCUCGGCGGGCCCAGAGCACCUGGGGAAAGAACUGACAGUCCCCUGAAACCCACACAAUCACUUCUCUGCAAAGUGGACCAAGGUAAAGCAAAAGACUGCAGGCUGGUGUGACAGAGAAGACAAAGGAGAAAGCCACACCGAACCCCAAUAGGUGACAGUUUUAUUUCUUUUUACAUGGUGAAAGGACAUGUUCAGGGCUACUUUAGAACAGUCUGUUGGCCAAAGGAAAAAAAAUUAAAUAUCUGGCAUAAUUUUUGCCCACUAUGAAAAAAAAUUUUUAAACACAUGCACUGGGUAUUUUAUACCUUUUUUUGUUGUUUUAGAGAGAGGACCAUGUCAAUGUUUAAUUUUGAAACUACAAAUCGUAUGGAAAUGAUAUCCUGAAAAAAUAGGAUUUUACCUCACUUGUUCUUAACUUCUUAUAACCAUUAUGUCAUCACUAUCAAUUCUACCCCAAAAGAGCAAAGUCUGAGCUACCUACAAAAGGAGAUAAAGAAAAUGCCAGCAGGAAAUUCGCUAGGGACCUGGUGGUUAGAACCUGGGGAUUCUGUGUGCUGGGCCUGGGUUCAACCCCUGGUCAGGGAACAAAGAUUAUGCAAACCAUGUGACAUGGUCAAAAAAAACCUAAAGCCAAAAAAGAGAGGGAGAGAUCAGAAGGCAAUUAUUAUCUAUGAUAAAAAUACCCACUGAGCAGAAGGUGAAAAUCUGACUCCAAAAUCUGUGAGACUAGGAAAAUGUUUACUUGUAGCAACUCAGAAAAGAUGGAUAAAUCACUAACUAGCAAGAAAAAAUGAAGUUACAAAAAAGUUUUUUUAGUAUACUUUAGAGAUACUAUUAUUUUUGUGCCACACUGCUGUAUAUAUAACAGUGCCAUAUUUAAAGUGGGGUAUAUCAUAUAUAUGUAUAUAUAUUACCUGUACUGGGUCUUCACUGCUAUGCAUGGCUUUUUCUCAUAUAUUACAUGAAAGUGUUUGCUCUUUUUUCUUUCUGAUAGCAAAGCAGGGACCAACCUAACUUUUCUAUUGCCAAUCCAGUACUAUGUAUACAUCUAUGUAGAAUUUUUAAAUAUUAAAAGAAUGCAACUGCAGUAAAUAGAUGUUUUAGUAAACUGAAUUGUGUUCCCCCCACCCAAAGUCCACAUGUGGAAGCUAGUAAGUCCAGUGUAGUGGUAUUUGGAAGUAGAAGCUUUGGAGUAAUCAAGCUGAGAGGAGGUCAUGAGGAUGGGGCCCCCAUGACAGGAUUAGUGUUCUUAUAAGAAAGAACGGAGGGAUGGCCAUGCAAUGAAAACCAGGAAGGGAGUCCUCACCAAGAACAAAUCUGCUGGCACCUUGAUAUUGGUCUUUCCAGCAGCAGUAACUGAGAGAAACGUCCAUGGUUUAAACCAUCCAGUCUAUUGUAUUUUGUUAUGUCAGCCCAAGCUAAAACAGAUGACAUCUGCCUCACACACUUUUCCAUCUCUAAAAUAAAUAUAGCCAUAAUCAUGGAACCUUGACUAUGCACCACCAAACCACCUGAUCUACCAAAACUGGCACGUGAUCAGGAGAAAAGGAAACAUCUGUCCUUAAAAGGAAACAGGUAAAGAAGGGAGUUGGCAUCAGAAAGAUUCUUUCACAGACUGUGUAAAAGGAAAAAGAAAAGAACACACAUAGAAACAGAGCUGAAGAACUGAGGUCGGAAAGACUGACAAUGAUUACAGGACUCGGACUCCGCAGGGCUAGUAUUUGGAACUUGCUCUGUUCUCGCCACGUCUUUUGUGCUGCCGAGAAGACAUUCAGCUUGAGAGGACAGGAAGCCAGUCUGCCAUUCACUGACUACUACUAAAGAGGCGUAUGGGAUGAACAGGCUCCUGCAAGCUGAAAGAGCCGUGGGAGGUUUCCCCACCUUCACACUCUGAGGGAUGGACUGAUGGUGAGUGCUUGCCGAAGGCCGCAGCUCUCAAAGACACCUUUCGUUAUUCUUUUAAAAGUGGUGCAUCGCAAUAAUGCUCUGACUCAAAAACAAAGAAUUCAUUGAAACUGGUUAACAGUCUGGCUAUAAAAGAAACCACCAUCCCACUGUACCUGAGUUGAAAUCCAUUGCUUUCUGGUUAUAUAACCUCAAGCCAAGCAUUUAGCCUCCCUGAACCUCAGUUCCCAUCUUUAAUCUAGAGAUAAUACAUGUCUGCAGUCUCUUACCUGAUGUCCUAAGGACUAGAUUUCAGAAUUUUUUAUUAUACAAUGUAGUACAUAAACUGAAUUUUAUGCAAUACUCAUAAUGUCCAAGACAGCAGUUAGUAAGCAAACACAUUGAUAACCUUCAGCAAAAUGAUGUAUUAAUAAUCUAAUACUAAUAGUAAUCUAAUACUAAUAACACUAAUAAAAUAAAAGUUAUUAAUACUAGUUUUAUGGUUGUUCAAAUCUGGUGUUGUUGCCAAAAUUACAAAAAGAACUUUCCAAUUUAGAGCUUUCUGGGUUUUGUAUCUUGGGACGGGCAACUCAUAAAUAUAUUCACCCUAGAGUGACUAUGAGGAAUAAAUGACAUAUGGAGGAUAGAAACUCAUAAGGUUAUGUAGGAUGGAUUAUAAAUGAGAACCUAAGGAAUUCUAAGGAGCCAAAGUAUAAGGGAAAUCUCUCCUGAGCAUAAAGUCCCUCUCCAAAGAUAACCAACACUCAGUUGCCAAGUGACCUGAGAGGCUCACUGGGAAGGUACAUUGUCUCCCUGGUUUCCAUCUUCCAUUCAGUAUUCCCUUCUGCAGACCCGUGUCUUUAAGCCCUGUGGGAGCU